rnacentral:antisense_RNA from 1 species
GUGGGAGCUGGCUUGCCAGCGAUGGCAUCAGUUCAGCAAGCAUGCAUGUCGACUGAUGCACCGCAAUCGCUGGCAAGCCAGCUCCCAC